CUUAUUGGGUGAAUCUGCUUUGCCUUUUGACUGACAGCGAGUAUGAGACUGGCAGUGAGUAUGGAAAGUCCAAAGAAAUCAUUCUAUAGUCCUUGACUUAUGACCACAACUGGACCAAAUGUCUGCCACUAAGUUAUGAGAUCGUUAAGGAAGAAAAAUGCCAGAGAAUUUGAAAGAGGACAAUAUAGCAAGGAGAAGAUUUGGCUUUAAACUAUUGGCUGAUGUUAUUAUUGAAUAAUGACUACAUGUUGUUCACAAUGAU